rnacentral:rRNA from 1 species
AUGCAAGUCGAGCGAUUGCCUUAGCCUGAAGGGUUUGAAGUCGCAAGACGGAUGGCCUGGAUGGUUGAGGUGAGAGCGGCAAACGGGUGCGUAACGCGUGGGCGAUCUACCCUGAAGCGGGGGAUAACGUUCCGAAAGGGACACUAAUACCGCAUCGGCUCACAGGACCGCAAGGUCUAGGGAGUAAGGCUGGGGACCCGCAAGGGCCUGGCGCUUCAGGAGGAGCCCGCGUCCUAUCAGCUAGUUGGCGGGGUAACGGCCCACCAAGGCUAUUGACGGGUAGCUGGCCUGAGAGGGUGGUCAGCCACACUGGGACUGAGACACUGCCCAGACUCCUACGGGAGGCUGCAGUCGAGGAUCUUCUCCAAUGGGGGAAACCCUGAGAAUGCGACGCCGCGUGCGGGAUGAAGGCCUUCGGGUCGUAAACCGCUGUCAGGUGGGAAGAAUACCUGGCUGGUGAAUAGCCAGCUCGGUUGACGGUACCAUCAGAGGAAGCCACGGCUAACUCCGUGCCAGCAGCCGCGGUAAGACGGAGGUGGCAAGCGUUGCUCGGAAUCAUUGGGUGUAAAGGGUUGGUAGGCGGCUCCGCAAGUCUCGUUUGAAAUCCCACGGCUUAACCGUGGAACUGGGCGGGAGACUACGGGGCUCGAGGGUCGGAGAGGGAGACGGAAUUCCCGGUGUAAGGGUGAAAUCUGUAGAGAUCGGGAGGAACACCAGUGGCGAAGGCGGUCUCCUGGCCGGCAUCUGACGCUGAGCAACGAAAGCGUGGGGAGCAAACAGGAUUAGAUACCCUGGUAGUCCACGCUGUAAACGUUGAGGACUAGGUGUUGGCCCUUUCGGGGGUCAGUGCCGACGCUAACGCAUGAAGUCCUCCACCUGGGGAGUAAGUCCGCAAGGAUGAAACUCAAAGGAAUUGACGGGGGCCCGCACAAGCGGUGGAACAUGUGGUUCAAUUCGACGCUACGCGAAGAACCUUACCUGGGCUUGACAUGCGAGAAGUACCGAACCGAAAGGGGAGGGACUCGUCAAGUCGAGAGCUCGCACAGGUGGUGCAUGGCUGUCGUCAGCUCGUGCUGUGAAGUGUUGGGUUAAGUCCCGCAACGAGCGCAACCCUCGUCCCUAGUUGCCACCCGGUCGCAAGGCCGGCGCACUCUAGGGAGACUGCCGGUGAUGAACUGGAGGAAGGUGGGGAUGACGUCAAGUCAGUACGCUCCUUAUGCCCAGGGCCACACACGUGUUACAAUGGCGCGUACAAAGGGUUGCCAACCC